UUAAAUUGAAGAGUUUGAUCAUGGCUCAGAUUGAACGCUGGCGGCAGGCCUAACACAUGCAAGUCGAACGGUAACAGGAAGCAGCUUGCUGCUUUGCUGACGAGUGGCGGACGGGUGAGUAAUGUCUGGGAAACUGCCUGAUGGAGGGGGAUAACUACUGGAAACGGUGGCUAAUACCGCAUAACGUCGCAAGACCAAAGAGGGGGACCUUCGGGCCUCUUGCCAUCAGAUGUGCCCAGAUGGGAUUAGCUUGUUGGUGAGGUAACGGCUCACCAAGGCGACGAUCCCUAGCUGGUCUGAGAGGAUGACCAGCCACACUGGAACUGAGACACGGUCCAGACUCCUACGGGAGGCAGCAGUGGGGAAUAUUGCACAAUGGGCGCAAGCCUGAUGCAGCCAUGCCGCGUGUAUGAAGAAGGCCUUCGGGUUGUAAAGUACUUUCAGCGGGGAGGAAGGUGUUGUGGUUAAUAACCACAGCAAUUGACGUUACCCGCAGAAGAAGCACCGGCUAACUCCGUGCCAGCAGCCGCGGUAAUACGGAGGGUGCAAGCGUUAAUCGGAAUUACUGGGCGUAAAGCGCACGCAGGCGGUCUGUCAAGUCGGAUGUGAAAUCCCCGGGCUCAACCUGGGAACUGCAUUCGAAACUGGCAGGCUUGAGUCUUGUAGAGGGGGGUAGAAUUCCAGGUGUAGCGGUGAAAUGCGUAGAGAUCUGGAGGAAUACCGGUGGCGAAGGCGGCCCCCUGGACAAAGACUGACGCUCAGGUGCGAAAGCGUGGGGAGCAAACAGGAUUAGAUACCCUGGUAGUCCACGCCGUAAACGAUGUCUACUUGGAGGUUGUGCCCUUGAGGCGUGGCUUCCGGAGCUAACGCGUUAAGUAGACCGCCUGGGGAGUACGGCCGCAAGGUUAAAACUCAAAUGAAUUGACGGGGGCCCGCACAAGCGGUGGAGCAUGUGGUUUAAUUCGAUGCAACGCGAAGAACCUUACCUGGUCUUGACAUCCACGGAACUUUCCAGAGAUGGAUUGGUGCCUUCGGGAACCGUGAGACAGGUGCUGCAUGGCUGUCGUCAGCUCGUGUUGUGAAAUGUUGGGUUAAGUCCCGCAACGAGCGCAACCCUUAUCCUUUGUUGCCAGCGGUCCGGCCGGGAACUCAAAGGAGACUGCCAGUGAUAAACUGGAGGAAGGUGGGGAUGACGUCAAGUCAUCAUGGCCCUUACGACCAGGGCUACACACGUGCUACAAUGGCGCAUACAAAGAGAAGCGACCUCGCGAGAGCAAGCGGACCUCAUAAAGUGCGUCGUAGUCCGGAUUGGAGUCUGCAACUCGACUCCAUGAAGUCGGAAUCGCUAGUAAUCGUGGAUCAGAAUGCCACGGUGAAUACGUUCCCGGGCCUUGUACACACCGCCCGUCACACCAUGGGAGUGGGUUGCAAAAGAAGUAGGUAGCUUAACCUUCGGGAGGGCGCUUACCACUUUGUGAUUCAUGACUGGGGUGAAGUCGUAACAAGGUAACCGUAGGGGAACCUGCGGUUGGAUCACCUCCUUACCUUAAAGAA
rnacentral:rRNA from 13 species